CAGAGUUCAUGCCCUAACGGGUAGAUCUCCCACCCUUGUGUAAUAUAAAUAUCUGUUGCUUUGGCGGGUCGCGAGCUCACCCUCGCCCUGUGUACCCGCCAGAGGACCAAUAAACUCUGAAUGUUAGUGUCGUCUGAGUACUAUAUAAUAGUUA
rnacentral:misc_RNA from 1 species